AUUGAACGCUGGCGGCAUGCCUUACACAUGCACGUCGAACGGCAACACGGGGGCAACCCUGGUGGCGCGUGGCGAACGGGCGAGUAAUGCAUCGGAACGUGCCCAGUAGUGGGGGAUAACAAGUCGAAAGACUGGCCCAUACCGCAUACGACCCAAGGGUGAAAGCGGGGGACCGUAAGGCCUUGCGUCAUCGGAGCGGCAGAUGUCUGAUUAGCUAGUCGGCGGGGUAAGAGCCCACCAAGGCGAUGAUCAGUAGCUGGUCUGAGAGGACGACCAGCCACACUGUGACUGAGACACGGCCCAGACUGCUACGGGAGGGGGCAGUGGGGAAUUGUGGACAAUGGGCGCAAGCCUGAUCCAGCCAGGCCGCGUGCGGGAAGAAGGCCUUCGGGUUGUAAUCCGCUUUUGGCAGGAACGAAACGGCGCAGGCCAAUACCUUGCGCUAAUGACGGUACCUGCAGAAUAAGCACCGGCUAACUACGUGCCAGCCGCCGCCGUAAGAC
rnacentral:rRNA from 1 species